GGCCAGCCGGGCGUUUGGCGGCGGGGCAACUCACCAGGGACUGCAUGUUUGUUGCUUGUCGAGUGUUGCUGCAGUUCUCUGCGAAUUAUCCCUCGAUGCAAUGCCUUUUUAUGCUCUGGACCAGGUGCUGAGAUUCUGCAGGACGCCAACCCCCGCAUGAGGGCCUGGGGGAUCCCUUACAGAGAACCCGGCCGGCAGCUUGCUUUUCCGCUCAAUUUAAAUAGGGAGCGUCUACUAACACCCAACCGUCGCUGUCCCCUCCCAGGACACCUCUCGUGGUCUUUCUCAGCCCGUUGAAGACACCGCUGAGGUCAAGGCUGCCAAGGCUAACUUUGCCAGCGAGUACUACCGUACCGCUGCCCGUGCUGCUGUCGCUUCCCCUGUGGUGACCUACCCCUACGGCGGAGCUGCCUACGGGGUCGCUGUCGUUUGCCGUCACAAGCGUGACCUGAGCGCUAUCAAGUCUGGUCUACGCUCCUGCUAAUGUUGCCCCGUAACCUGCUGCCACCAACCCCUACGCCUACGCCCCCACCCCUACGCUUACGCGCCUACUAGGUCUACGGAGGAGCUUAGUACAAACUUUGCCUUCGCUUGUGCUCUCUACGAUGACCGACUGAAUACGAAUGUAUGACUUAUCUCUUUGAGAUUCCCAGCUUCAGGAAUUUGAUGAAAUUUUAGUCCUCCAAAUGAUUAAAUAAAGCAAAAUAUAGCCAAAA